GUUAUCACGGGAGACACACGGCGGGUGCUAACGUCCGUCGUGAAGAGGGAAACAACCCAGACCGCCAGCUAAGGUCCCAAAGUCAUGGUUAAGUGGGAAACGAUGUGGGAAGGCCCAGACAGCCAGGAUGUUGGCUUAGAAGCAGCCAUCAUUUAAAGAAAGCGUAAUAGCUCACUGGUCGAGUCGGCCUGCGCGGAAGAUGUAACGGGGCUAAACCAUGCACCGAAGCUGCGGCAGCGACGCUGAUGCGUUGUUGGGUAGGGGAGCGUUCUGUAAGCCUGCGAAGGUGUGCUGUGAGGCAUGCUGGAGGUAUCAGAAGUGCGAAUGCUGACAUAAGUAACGAUAAAGCGGGUGAAAAGCCCGCUCGCCGGAAGACCAAGGGUUCCUGUCCAACGUUAAUCGGGGCAGGGUGAGUCGACCCCUAAGGCGAGGCCGAAAGGCGUAGUCGAUGGGAAACAGGUUAAUAUUCCUGUACUUGGUGUUACUGCGAAGGGGGGACGGAGAAGGCUAUGUUGGCCGGGCGACGGUUGUCCCGGUUUAAGCGUGUAGGCUGGUUUUCCAGGCAAAUCCGGAAAAUCAAGGCUGAGGCGUGAUGACGAGGCACUACGGUGCUGAAGCAACAAAUGCCCUGCUUCCAGGAAAAGCCUCUAAGCAUCAGGUAACAUCAAAUCGUACCCCAAACCGACACAGGUGGUCAGGUAGAGAAUACCAAGGCGCUUGAGAGAACUCGGGUGAAGGAACUAGGCAAAAUGGUGCCGUAACUUCGGGAGAA
rnacentral:rRNA from 1 species